UAGUGUGUCAACUUAAACACAAAUUGAUGU
rnacentral:misc_RNA from 1 species